CCCUUAGAUGUCCUGGGCCGCACGCGCGUUACACUGAUGCAUUCAACGAGCUUAUAACCUUGGCCGAGAGGCCUGGGCAAUCUUGUUAACGUGCAUCGUGAUAGGGAUAGAUUAUUGAAAUUAUUAAUCUUGAACGAGGAAUUCCUAGUAAACGCAGAUCAUCAAUCUGUAUUGAUUACGUCCCUGCCCUUUGUACACACCGCCCGUCGCACCUACCGAUUGAAUGUUCCGGUGAACACUUUGGAAUAGUGCCUUUGUAUGGGGAAACUUGUACUUGGAUACUGUAAAGUUGUGUAAACCUUAACAUUUAGAGGAAGGAGAAGUCGUAACA
rnacentral:rRNA from 1 species